rnacentral:rRNA from 1 species
UACGUAGGUGGCAAGCGUUGUCCGGAUUUACUGGGCGUAAAGCGCGCGCAGGCGGAUUGGUCAGUCCGAGGUGAAAUCUCACGGCUCAACUGUGAGGGGUCCUUGGAUACUGCCAAUCUUGAGGGGCUUAGAGGAGAGUGGAAUUCCGGGUGUAGUGGUGGAAUGCGUAGAUAUCCGGAGGAACACCAGUGGCGAAGGCGGCAUCCUGGACCGGCAUUGACGCUGAGGCGCGAAAGCCAGGGGAGCAAACGGG